CUGCAGCUAAUUAAGCCGACUGAGUUCCUUUCCUCAUGGGGGCCCAGUGUGCAAUGGCUGCAAACAGCAGCUUCCCUGGUAGUGAUGCAGCCUGUUUGUUGUAUGGGUUGCUCUAAGGGACCUUGGAGACAGUC
rnacentral:snoRNA from 1 species